AGGGUCAACUAUUAUGAGGCUUCAGUGUAUUUCCACCUCUCAUUUCUAAAAGAAUUCUUAUAUUAGUUUGAAAGUGACGGUAAAGGUGGGCAGAAGCAAAGAAUAUCCCUCCAUGUCAUCUCCCUACAUGGUAGACAUUAGUAACUGCAAUGGUCUGCAGAUGUCUCUUGCAUAUUUUUUGUUGCAUGUGUAUGCAGUGCAACAGAGAAAAUGAAAGAACAGAAAGGUGAAGUUUAUAGCUAACGGGAACUGAUUUAAUGAUGCCAACUGAGAACAAGGAAGAAGAUCUGGAAAAACAGAAAAAUAAAAAUUUGUAUAGAGAAUGGAGAAGACCAUGCAUAGGGACUCUGUUCAUACUAUAGAUUUGUCUUACUAGAUGUAAAAAUGUUUCUUUACUAGAUGUAAAUUUAGAGAAGGUACUUGCUCAAUGUGUUGAUGACUUCCUGAAGUCAACUAAAUAAAUCCAUAGAAAAGACAAUUUUAAUAGAGAUACCUAUUACUGAGUACUUCCUACGUGCCAAGUAUUAUUUCUGUAUCACCUCUAAUUUUAACAACUCCUGUGGAAGGUAGAGACUAUUUUACAUAUGAAGAAACAGAUGUUGGGAAAAGUUAUUUAUCCAAGGUCAUUGAGCUAGCAAAAAGUGCCACAAGUCAGACACAGGCUUUAAGCUUUAGAUGAAAGAGAUUUACUAAACAAAAAGGUGCUUUAGCUAUAAAAAUUACUCAAUCAAGCCUGGUAAUACUUUACAUCUUAAAACUUUGAAAGACCAGCUAAUGCCCAACUGCUGGAUCUAGACUCAGCACUAAGUCAUAUGUUUAAAUGUCUUUGCUUUUUUAGUCCAAAUGAGAUUAUGAACCUUAGUCUCUAAAACUCCAUGCAAAGUUCAGCAAAAUUCUAUCCACUUUUAAAAGAGAAUGUAUCUUUAGAUACUCCAAAAAUGGGGGUGGGGUGGGGGAAGAGAAAGAAUGUUUCCAUUUUUUCUUUUUUUUUUUGAGACAGAGUCUCACUCUGUUACCCAGGUUGGAGUGCAGUGGAAUAACGACAGCUCAUUAUAACCUUGCUCCUUGGCUCAAGUGAUCCUCCUGCCUUAGCCUCCCAAGUAGCUGGGACCAUAG